rnacentral:rRNA from 1 species
GACGAACGCUGGCGGCGUGCCUAAUACAUGCAAGUAGAACGCACAGUUUAUACCGUAGCUUGCUACACCAUAGACUGUGAGUUGCGAACGGGUGAGUAACGCGUAGGUAACCUGCCUGGUAGCGGGGGAUAACUAUUGGAAACGAUAGCUAAUACCGCAUAAUAUUAAUUAUUGCAUGAUAAUUAAUUGAAAUGUGCAAUUGCACCACUACAACAUGGACCUGCGUUGUAUUAGCUAGUAGGGGAGGUAACGGCUCACCUAAGCGACGAUACAUAGCCGACCUGGGAGGGUGAUCGGCCACACUGGGAAUGAGACACGGCCCAGAAUCCUACGGGAGGCAGCAGGAGGGAAUCUUCGGCAAUGGACGAAAGUCUGACCGAGCAACGCCGCGUGAGUGAAGAAGGUUUUCGGAUCGUAAAGCUCUGUUGUAAGAGAAGAACGGGUGUGAGAGUGGAAAGUUCACACUGUGACGGUACCUUACCAGAAAGGGACGGCUAACUACGUG